AUUGAACGCUGGCGGCAGGCCUAACACAUGCAAGUCGAGCGGAGCGGCGGACGGGGGAGUAAUGCCUAGGAAUCUGCCUGGUAGUGGGGGAUAACGUCCGGAAACGGGCGCUAAUACCGCAUACUAUCAGAUGAGCCUAGGUCGGAUUAGCUAGUUGGUGGGGUAAAGGCCUACCAAGGCGACGAUCCGUAACUGGCCUGAGAGGAUGAUCAGUCACACGGGAACUGAGACACGGCCCAGACUCCUACGGGAGGCAGCAGUGGGGAAUAUUGGACAAUGGACGAAAGCCUGAUCCAGCCAUGCCGCGUGAGUGAAGAAGGUUUUCGGAUUGUAAAGCACUGUAGGUUGGGAGGCGUUACCAACAGAAUAAGCACCGGCUAACUACGUGCCAGCAGCCGCGGUAAUUC
rnacentral:rRNA from 1 species